GACAGAGGGGGCAAGCGUUGCUCGGAAUUACUGGGCGUAAAGGGCGCGUAGGCGGGAUGGCAAGUCGGUCGUGAAAUCCCUCGGCUCAAUCAAGGAACGUCGAUCGAUACUGCUGUUCUUGAGGAUUGCAGAGGAGACUGGAAUUCCCGGUGUAGCGGUGAAAUGUGUAGAGAUCGGGAGGAACACCGGUGGCGAAGGCGGGUCUCUGGGCAAUUCCUGACGCUGAGGCGCGAAAGCGUGGGGAGCAAACGGG
rnacentral:rRNA from 1 species